rnacentral:lncRNA from 1 species
CGUCAUUCGAGCAAUGUCUAUCCCGUUUUCAAACAGGGAAAGUUGUCUCGUUAAGGCUCUGUCCUCGCAUGCUGGGGCUUAUGGCUUCAGCGAUUUGGGGACUUCUCAUGAUGAGAGACUUUCAACGUUGGGUCACGUCUCUGUGAUUGUGCACCCGCCGUCACCUCAAUUGCCCGGUCAAAGUGACAGCAGUGUGUAUGACAGCGCUCCGUCACUGGCGAGAAUCCCCCGGGGGGCGUGUCCGCGAGGAUUACCCUAACGAUGGAUGCGUCCCUUCCAGGCUGGGGUGCGACUCUAAUGGGCAGAGCUGUAAAUGGGGCGUGGCCCCCCCAGAUGAGUCUAGCCCACAUAAAUUAUCUGGAACUUCUCGCAGUGUUUCUAGCACUAAGACACUUCAAGGAUUUUCCCCGAAGCCAACACGUCCUGGUGAAAACAGACAACUUCACUGUGGUGGCUUAUAUAAAUCGGCAGGGUGGGACACGCUCAAUGCAGUUACACAGGUUGGCGCGAAAGCUUCUCCUGUGGAGCAGCACCCGUUUUUUUUUAUUCAAGCGACACAUGUACCGGGGAUACUGAACCGAGGGGCCGAUCUUCUGUCAAGGGGAAACCCCCUGUACGGAGACUGGGGGCUUCACCCGCAGGUGGUGAUGCAGCUGUGGCAGAGAUACGGCCAGGCAGCCGUAGAUCUCUUCGCCUCGCGGGAAAACGCGCAGUGUCCUCUGUAUUUUUCCCUGUGGGACGAAAAUGCACCUCUGGGUUUGGAUGCUUUAGCCCACCCAUGGCCAAACGUUCUUCUUUAUGCGUUUCCACCCCUGAGUCUGAUUUCUCCCACUCUGACCAGAGUGAGAGAGCAGGGUCUGUCUCUUAUACUAAUAGCCCCGCAUUGGCCAUCGAAGCACUGGGUGGCGGAGAUUGUCCAGAUGCUCGCGGGUCAGCCCUGGCCACUCCCACUGAGGAGAGACCUAUUGUCACAAGCAAACGGGAAAAUAUAUCAUCCCCACCCAGACAAGUUGGCUUUCUGGGCCUGGCCCGUGAGAGGUGGACAGCUGCCACUUGCUGUCAUUGAUACAAUACAAUGCACCAGAGCUAAUUCUACUCGCACAUUAUAUCAACACAAGUGGCGAGUUUUUGAAGACUGGUGCACCAGUCCUUUUCAGUGCUCUGUGGCGGAGCUACUCUGCUUCCUACAAGAUUUGUUGGAUAAAGGGAAAGCCUUUUCAACGAUCAAGGUCGUCACGUGGGCUUUGGAGAUAGGUCCGUGGGGCAGCAUGCUCUGGUCUGUUGGUUUAUGAAAGGGGCACGCCGUAAACGGCCUGUCUCCAGACCUUUGGUUCCUUUGUGGGACUUGUCCCUGGUGCUGG